UUUGACGUUACCUACAGAAGAAGCACCGGCUAACUCCGUGCCAGCAGCCGCGGUAAUACGGAGGGUGCGAGCGUUAAUCGGAAUUACUGGGCGUAAAGCGCAUGCAGGCGGCCUGUUAAGUCAGAUGUGAAAGCCCGGGGCGUUAACCUCGGAAUUGCAUUUGAAACUGGCAGGCUAGAGUCUUGUAGAGGGGGGUAGGAAUUUCAGGUGUAGCGGUGAAAUGCGUAGAGAUCUGAAGGAAUACCAGUGGCGAAGGCGGCCCCCUGGACAAAGACUGACGCUCAGAUGCGAAAGCGUGGGGAGCCAAACAGGAUUAGAUACCCUGUAG
rnacentral:rRNA from 1 species